rnacentral:rRNA from 1 species
UACGGGGGGGGCAAGCGUUGUUCGGAAUUACUGGGCGUAAAGGGCUCGUAGGCGGGCCACUAAGUCCGACGUGAAAUCCCCAGGCUUAACUUGGGAACUGCGUCGGAUACUGGUGGGCUUGAAUCCGGGAGAGGGAUGCGGAAUUCCAGGUGUAGCGGUGAAAUGCGUAGAUAUCUGGAGGAACACCGGUGGCGAAGGCGGCAUCCUGGACCGGCAUUGACGCUGAGUGAGCGAAAGCCAGGGGAGCAAACGGG